CCAUCUCCAAGAGACGUCCCUGUAACCUGAAGACUAAAAAGCCGAAAACCCAAAACUGAAAGGACAAAACCAGAGAAACCCUAAAUCCCACUCUCACUUCACUUAAACCCAAAACUGAAAGGACAAAACCAGAGAAACCCUAAAUCCUACUCUCACUUCACUUAAAGUCCUAAUUUCAAUAGAAUGGAUGAAUUCAUACCCAUUAUUGAUUCUACUCCAACUCCACUUCCGCCUCUGCCUCCGGCUGUCUCUACCUCUUGCCCGGCCCCAGAACACUUGAUGUAUAAAAAUCGACUACAAGAGUACACACAACGGCAAUCCUUGCAACUACCAAUUUAUCAAACUGUCAAUGAAGGAUACCCACAUGACCCAAAGUUUAGGUCAACGGUUUUAGUGGAUGGAGAAGAAUACACUUCUCAUAAUACAUUUUCGCAUCGAAAGGAAGCUGAACAAGAUGUUGCAAAACUUGCAUUGACUUCGAUAACAGAAAAGAUAAAGGAUGAAAUAAAGGAUGAAAAAUUUACUCACGAGGACACAGUGGCUUGCAAGUCCAUCUUAAAUGAGUAUGCGGUCAAGAUGCAACUGGAAAUGCCUACAUAUAACACUGUUAAGCAAGGAGGGCUGUUUCCAAUUUUUGUAUCUUCUUCAGUUUUCAAUGGUGUGACCUAUAAUGGUGACAUGGGUAGAACCAAGAAGGAGGCUGAACAAUUGGCAGCUCGUGCUGCGGUUCUUUCACUUUUGAGGAAUGUGGAGUCGGGGGAAAUUAUUUCUAAAUUUUUCAAGUCUAAACGCAAAUUAUAUGUUGGAUUUCAUAAAUCUGAUUCACAAGAUGCCCAAAAUAGCAAUAUGCCUGUGGUUGGUAAAGAUAUAAAAACUGAAGCUCUUAUGGUUAGUAAUGUUGUGCCAAUUCCUGAGGCAGCUUCUGCAUUGCAUCCUCCCCAUCAUGAAUUCACCAAAACGAAACCAGAAAAAAUCUGUGAGGGAAUUGAUCUUCCGAUAGCUUUUGUGCAUCCAGUAUCAGGACAGUCUGUGGAUGUUGCUCUUGAAUCUGGGAAGAAGAGGAGAAAGAAUAAGAAAAAGCCUAACAAAAAAUUGCGAAGUGAAUCUCAGUAAAAUUUAGUUCCUCGUACAUUAUUUUUUGUUUUUUGGUGUCUCGGCUUUAUUUCUCCUAUGAAUCAUAACACCUGUGUUUCUGAUUGCUUCAUUUGGGACUUUGAUGCCUUUUGCUGGUAGCAUUUUUAGAUGUGUUGCCAGUGGAUGCUGUGCCUUUGAAUCAAGCGGCACCAUAUUCAGUUGCCUCAUAAAGGGUGAGACUGCUCUGGUAUAAUUUUUUUUGAUUGUAGCUGAAACUGAUAUUUGUACUAGGUAUGCUGAAAGUUGUCUCUGUAAAACAUAAAUAAGGAUGGGAACCUUGGUGAUGACUGGACAUGUACAAAACAAUAGUAAUCUCAUAUUCUAUACCAGGUCAGCUAUUAUCUCGGAUGAUAACUACAUCUAGGUUUAUUGAA